rnacentral:sRNA from 2 species
AGCUGUUCCCCUCUGGAGGUUGAAUAACCUUCACACCUUAAAGGGCCCCGUUCAUUCGGUGGCCCUCUUUUUUUGCUUAAA